GACGCACGCUGGCGGCGUGCUUAACACAUGCAAGUCGAACGGAAAGGCCCUGCUUUUGUGGUGUGCUCGAGUGGCGAACGGGUGAGUAACACGUGAGUAACCUGCCCUUGACUUUGGGAUCACUUCAGGAACCUGGGGCUAAUACCGGAUAGGAGCUCCUGCUGCAUGGUGGGGGUUGGAAAGUUUCGGCGAUUGGGGAUGGACUCGGGGCUUAUCAGCUUGUUGGUGGGGUAGUGGCAUACCAAGGCUUUGACGGGUAGCCGGCCUGAGGGGGUGACCGGCCACAUUGGGACGGAGAUACGGCCGAGACUCCUACGGGAGGCAGCAGUGGGGAAUAGUGCACAAUGGGCGGAAGCCUGAUGCAGCAACGCCGCGUGCGGGAUGACGGCCUUCGGGUUGUAAACCGCUUUCGCCUGGGACGAAGCGUGAGUGACGGUAAUGGGUAAAGAAGCACCGGCUAACUACGUG
rnacentral:rRNA from 1 species